UAUCGAGGGACGGAGAAGGCUAAGCUAGCCGGAUAUUGGUUACCGGUUUAAACGUUCGAGAUGUUGAGAAGCGGAGAAAACGCUUUGAGUUGAGACGUGAGUACGAGACGCUAAGGCGUCGAAGUAGUGUAUGUCAUACUUCCAAGAAAAGCUUGCACUGUCAUUCAUAAAAAAUGCCUGUACCAUAACCGACACAGGUGGGUAGGUAGAGUAUACUAAGGGGCGCGAGAUAACUCUCUCUAAGGAACUCGGCAAAAUAACUCCGUAACUUCGGGAGAAGGAGUGCCUUAUUUAUAUAAGGUUGCAAUAACAAGAUCCAAGCAACUGUUUACCAAAAACACAGGUCUCCGCUAAGUCGCAAGACGAUGUAUGGGGGCUGACGCCUGCCCAGUGCCAGAAGGUUAAAGAAGUUGGUUAGCAAUAGCGAAGCUAGUAACUGAAGCCCUGGUGAACGGCGGCCGUAACUAUAACGGUCCUAAGGU
rnacentral:rRNA from 1 species